UACGGAGGGUGCAAGCGUUAAUCGGAAUUACUGGGCGUAAAGCGCACGCAGGUGGCUGAGUCAGUCGAUUGUGAAAGCCCUGGGCUUAACCUGGGAAUUGCAGUCGAUACUACUCAGCUAGAGUAUGGGAGAGGGCAGUGGAAUUCCCGGUGUAGCGGUGAAUGCGUUGAGAUCGGAAGGAACGCCCGUGGCGAAAGCGAGCCCCUGGACGUCAUCUGACGCUGAGACGCGAAAGCCAGGGGAGCGAACGGG
rnacentral:rRNA from 1 species